UCAGUCGACUCCUACGGGGAGGCAGCAGUGGGGAAUAUUGCACAAUGGGGGAAACCCUGAUGCAGCCAUGCCGCGUGUGUGAAGAAGGACCUUCGGGUUGUAAAGCACUUUCAGUAGGGAGGAAGGUAGUGUAGUUAACACCUGCAUUAUUUGACGUUACCUACAGAAGAAGCACCGGCUAACUCCGUGCCAGCAGCCGCGGUAAUACGGAGGGUGCGAGCGUUAAUCGGAAUUACUGGGCGUAAAGCGCAUGCAGGCGGCCUGUUAAGUCAGAUGUGAAAGCCCGGGGCUUAACCUCGGAAUUGCAUUUGAAACUGGCAGGCUAGAGUCUUGUAGAGGGGGGUAGGAAUUUCAGGUGUAGCGGUGAAAUGCGUAGAGAUCUGAAGGAAUACCAGUGGCGAAGGCGGCCCCCUCGGACAAAGACUGACGCUCAGAUGCGAAAGCGUGGGGAGCAAACAGGAUUAGAUACCCUGGUAG
rnacentral:rRNA from 1 species